GUACAUGCGCAUUACUCUCUCUUCCAAGCCACGUAUCGAACUUUCGUAUUCGAUACAUCGAUUCUCGAUCUUCAAUCAUCAACGCGAAAAAUUCCAUUAGAAUAUUAUAUUAAUCCGUAUGUUUCGUAUAUAAUUAUAUUCGACGAGAUUUUCAAUCAAAUUGAUCGUUCGUAGAAGAAAAGAAAAUUCGUUGAAGAGUUAAAAUUGAAAAUAUGGAAGACACGAUUCAAACGGUUCGAGGGCAGAUCGAGAUAACGGUGAAGCGGCGGCGCGAUGGUGUCGCUGGAAAUUUUAUCAAUACCGCGGCUGUCUAGUCGGUGACAGUCGCUCGUGAAAAGUACGCGGUCAUCUGACGGGGUUGGCAAGUCAGCGGAUAGCUCUAGUUCAGGAAACCAACAGCGACCGACGAACAACAUGGCCACCGAAGGCGGUCUAGCACCGGAUGCUGCUGCGGGUGCAGGUGCAGGUGCAGGUUCCGAUGGAAUCGUCGGAGGUCCGAGAACGCCUCAGCAGAUCGCCUCGCAGAAACGACUGCAGGCGACGCAGGCGCAGGUGGACGAGGUCGUCGACAUUAUGAAAACGAACGUUGAAAAGGUGUUGGAGCGUGAUCAAAAGCUGUCCGAGCUCGAUGAUCGAGCAGACGCGCUUCAGCAAGGAGCGUCGCAAUUUGAACAACAAGCAGGAAAACUGAAGAGGAAGUUCUGGUUACAAAAUUUGAAGAUGAUGAUCAUCAUGGGCGUCAUCGGAAUAAUCGUAUUGGCCAUCAUUGUUGCGAACUUCAUGUAGACGCGCUGGUUGGUGGAAAAAGAUUUGUGUGUGAGUGAGUCUGAAGCGAAAUUCAUGCCAGAAUCGACACCACCACCGCCACCCUAUGCCUAUCCACCACCAGGUAUGCCAGCUCAGGUUCCGGGUGCAGCUGUUCCGGGUGCCGCACCAGCCGCUGCACCAGGAGCUGCAGCGGGAGGAGCGGGUGGUGCAAGCGGGCAACAGACCGCUGGUGCAGCGUUAGUCGGCAAUUUGAACGGCAUUCACAGCGUGAUGUAAAGAGAAAGAAAGAAAGAAAGAAAGAAAGAAAGAAUAUUACACUUCUCCGUACUGUAUCGCAAUAAGAAUUUUCCAUGCUAAUCUCAAACGAGCGACGUGAUGUCUAUUGGCGUAAGCAUAUAAGUAAAAGAUAUAUUAUAAAGUGUUAAAGAAAGAGAGAAAGCUUCGAUCGAUUCGUUAGACGCGUGUCCAAAAUUCUGAUCCCACAAUCACAGUACAGGUUUCUUUUUAACGUUUACAAUAAGAUAGAGGAAAGAAUCGAAUAAAUUAGAAUAUCGAUGAAAUAAACGUUUGAUCGAGGAACGAACAGCUAACGCGUUAACUGCCGCGAUCCGCAAUGAAGAAGACAAAGAUAAUAGCUGAUUCGUUAAAGAUAUUCCCUGUUUUCAAGCAACCGUUAAUCGUUAUCGUUUUAACCGCAUCAUAUCGAUCGCAGUGCAUACAAUCUGAGAACUUUUCGAGAAAAGAAGAACGAAAAAAA